CGUGUAGGCGGUUAAUUAAGUCUUGUUUGAAAGACCGAUGCUCAACAUCGGAAACGGACAGGAAACUGAUUAACUAGAAUCCGGUAGGGAAAUGUGGAAUUUCUAGUGUAGGGGUGAAAUCUGUUGAUAUUAGAAAGAACACCAAUGGCGAAGGCAACAUUUUGGGCCUGGAUUGACGCUGAGGCGCGAAAGCAUAGGGAGCAAACAGGAUUAGAUACCCUGGUAGUCC
rnacentral:rRNA from 1 species